GUUUGAUCAACUGAAUGGAGAGGAUAGGCAGAAGGACCUCAUGGGGAGAGCAUCAGAAAGUACCGAGAAGCAACGAGUGAGGGGGCCGGGUCCUCUGGCACAUAAGGAAAAAGGCGUGGCAGCAGAGCUCUGUUACUGAUGCCUGUGUCGGUGCGCUCAGAGGACGGAAUCAGGAGCUGAGAUCCACCAUCUGAGUUGCUGAUGGUUGCACGUUUGGUGACAGGAACGCCAUCUUUCAGCCAGUCCACGUCUGGCCAAGGGGAUGCCUGUCAACAGCAGCUUGGGUCUCGUGCAAUCCCAAACUCCGAUGGUGGACUGGGUUCACUAGGACCAGAGACAUUGAUAGCUGUCACACGGAACUCAUACUCCAUUCCAGCAAUGACAUCUUUAACAGCA